CUGAAUCGCACGCAGUAAAGCUGGUGUUCUCCUGAAGCCAACAUUUAUGGUAUCACCUUGCUGAUCCAGGCAAAAUGGCAAAAGUGUAGUGAACAUAAAGCCAGGGGCUGAGAUUGUGGAUGUCCUCUGUACCAAGUUUCUUAUUAUGAAAAUUCCAAGGGCCAAUUUUGAAACAAACCAGGCAGAGACCCAGAUGCAGAAUCCUGCAGGCUGAGGGAUGUUAGGAAGAGUUAGCCCACCACUGCUGCGCUGAAACCAGGAUGACGCAAACUGGGCCUCAGGCCAGGUGUAUUCCUUGGAGUAUAACUGAAGGUUUACUUGGUAAUUCUAUGUUUAACUUUUUUUGGAACUUCUGGACUAUCUUCCAAAGCAACAGUACCAUUGUACAUUUUCACCAGCCACGUAUGACAGUCACACUCUCUCCACAUUCUUGCCAAAACUUGUUAUCAUUUUUCAAAUAAAAGACAGCCUAGUGUGUAU
rnacentral:lncRNA from 10 species